CCCCCUGCACAUCGCUGCUCACUAUGGCAACGUGAAUGUCUCCACCCUCCUGCUGAACCGAGGAGCCGCCAUCGACUUCACCGCCAGGAAUGGGAUAACUCCUCUCCAUGUGGCCUCUAAGAGAGGGAACACCAACAUGGUAGCUCUACUGCUGGAUAGAGGAGCUCAGAUAGAUGCCAAGACCAGGGACGGCCUCACUCCUCUACAUUGUGCAGCG